ensembl:snRNA U6 U6 spliceosomal RNA
GUGCUUGCUUCAGCGGCACACAUACUACAAUUGGAACAAUACAGAGAUUAGCAUGGUCCCUGCGCAAGGAUGACAUGCAAAUUCAUGAAGCAUUCCAUAUACAU